UAAAUAAUUGCAAUUAAAGCGACCAUAUAUCCCGGGCUGUUUAAAGGUUUGGGAUAUUGUUUCUUCAAACACAGAAGUCCAUCAGUGGGUCCACAACACUUUAUUCGGCGUCUAAAUAUGCAAU